rnacentral:rRNA from 1 species
CGAACGGUCGCGUAACACGUAAGCAAUCUGCCCUAAAGUUUGGGAUAGCCCGGCGAAAGUCGGAUUAAUACCGGAUGUGGAUAUUUAGACUCCUGUUUAUUUAUCUAAAGUGGAAACACGCUUUAGGAUGAGCUUGCGGCCUAUCAGCUUGAUGGUGGGGUAAUGGCCUACCAUGGCGACGACGGGUAGCUGGUCUGAGAGGAUGGUCAGCCGGACUGGGACUGAGAUACGGCCCAGACUCCUACGGGGGGCAGCAAUUAGGAAUCUUGCGCAAUGGGCGAAAGCCUGACGCAGCGACGUCGCGUGACCGAUGAAGUCUUUCGGGAUGUAAAGGUCUUUUGUUAGGGAAGAGUAUAAGACUGUACCUAACGAAUAAGCUCCGGCUAACUACGUGCCAGCAGCCGCGGUAAUACGUAGGGAGCAAGCGUUGUCCGAAUUUACUGGGCGUAAAGCGCGCGUAGGCGGUCUAUUAAGUUGGUGGUGAAAGUCCGAUGCUCAACAUCGGAACUGCUUCCAAUACUGGUAGACUUGAGGUAUGAAUGGGGAAGUGGAAUUCCAGGUGUAGCGGUGAAAUGCGUAGAUAUCUGGAGGAACACCGGUGGCGAAGGCGGCUUCCUGGUCAUAUCCUGACGCUGAGGUGCGAAAGCUAGGGUAGCGAACGGGAUUAGAUACCCCGGUAGUCCUAGCCGUAAACGAUGGAUACUAGGUGUUAGAGGUAUCGACCCCUCUAGUGCCGAAGCUAACGCAUUAAGUAUCCCGCCUGGGGAGUACGGCCGCAAGGUUGAAACUCAAAGGAAUUGACGGGGGCCCGCACAAGCGGUGGAGCAUGUGGUUUAAUACGUCA